rnacentral:rRNA from 1 species
GACGAACGCUGGCGGCGUGCUUAACACAUGCAAGUCGAACGGAAAGGCCCUGCUUUUGUGGGGUGCUCGAGUGGCGAACGGGUGAGUAACACGUGAGUAACCUGCCCUUGACUUUGGGAUAACUUCAGGAAACUGGGGCUAAUACCGGAUAGGAGCUCCUGCUGCAUGGUGGGGGUUGGAAAGUUUCGGCGGUUGGGGAUGGACUCGCGGCUUAUCAGCUUGUUGGUGGGGUAGUGGCUUACCAAGGCUUUGACGGGUAGCCGGCCUGAGAGGGUGACCGGCCAAAUUGGGACUGAGAUACGGCCCAGACUCCUACGGGAGGCAGCAGUGCGGUAUAUUGCACAAUGGGCGGAGGCCUGAUGCAGCAACGCCGCGUGCGGGAUGACGGCCUUCGGGUUGUAUACCGCUUUCGCCUGUGACGAAGCGUGAGUGACGGUAAUGGGUAAAGAAGCACCGGCUAACUACGUG